UACGUAGGGUGCAAGCGUUAUCCGGAAUUAUUGGGCGUAAAGAGCUCGUAGGCGGUCUGUCGCGUCUGCUGUGAAAACUGGGGGCUCAACCCCCAGCCUGCAGUGGGUACGGGCAGACUAGAGUGCGGUAGGGGAGAUUGGAACUCCUGGUGUAGCGGUGGAAUGCGCAGAUAUCAGGAGGAACACCAGCGGCGAAGGCGGUGCUCUGGGCCGGAACUGACACUGAGGAGCGAAAGCGUGGGUAGCAAACAGG
rnacentral:rRNA from 1 species